CAAUAGAGUUGAACAAUAUUAACCAUAUGAAUAAGAGUUUUUGAGGUGAUACGAGGAUACACUUACGUGCAACGUUACAUUUACUUUUCAACCUAGUUAUAAACUAAUUACGCUACUUACGGCCUACAUACUUGGGUUAGAAUUCGCCACUAUUGUAUUGAAUUUUAAAGCUAUUCGAAUUCUAAAUCUUAGUUAAAGGAGCAUUUCCAUCCAGUGUAAAUUACACGUUAACAGAUUAUAAGUGAAUAGAACCAUCAGGGAUAAAAGAAACACUAAACGUAGGUUGUCGAUGGAUUAUAAUCAACACCCA